rnacentral:tRNA from 1 species
GUUUCCGUAGUGUAGCGGCUAUCACGUUCGCCUAACACGCGAAAGGUCCCCGGUUCGAGACCGGGCGGAAACA